UGUUUCGGCUAGGGGGCCAUCCCGGCUUACCAACCCGAUGCAAACUGCGAAUACCGGAGAAUGUUAUCACGGGAGACACACGGCGGGUGCUAACGUCCGUCGUGAAGAGGGAAACAACCCAGACCGCCAGCUAAGGUCCCAAAGUCAUGGUUAAGUGGGAAACGAUGUGGGAAGGCCCAGACAGCCAGGAUGUUGGCUUAGAAGCAGCCAUCAUUUAAAGAAAGCGUAAUAGCUCACUGGUCGAGUCGGCCUGCGCGGAAGAUGUAACGGGGCUAAACCAUGCACCGAAGCUGCGGCAGCGAACGUAUCACUUAAAGCGAUUCAGCGGGUUACGAUUGACGGAGCGAAGCGACGUCAAAGCGUAUAUAAAGUCGAGUCGGUUUAAGGAUACGUUCGUUGGGUAGGGGAGCGUUCUGUAAGCCUGUGAAGGUGGCCUGUGAGGGUUGCUGGAGGUAUCAGAAGUGCGAAUGCUGACAUAAGUAACGAUAAAGCGGGUGAAAAGCCCGCUCGCCGGAAGACCAAGGGUUCCUGUCCAACGUUAAUCGGGGCAGGGUGAGUCGACCCCUAAGGCGAGGCCGAAAGGCGUAGUCGAUGGGAAACGGGUUAAUAUUCCCGUACUUGGUGUUACUGCGAAGGGGGGACGGAGAAGGCUAUGUUGGCCGGGCGACGGUUGUCCCGGUUUAAGCGUGUAGGUGUGUGUUCCAGGUAAAUCCGGUUCACUUUAACACUGAG
rnacentral:rRNA from 1 species